rnacentral:rRNA from 1 species
AUAAGAGCUGGGCAAGACCGGUGCCAGCCGCCGCGGUAACACCGGCAGCUCUAGUGGUAGCAAUUUUUAUUGGGCCUAAAGCGUCCGUAGCCGGUUUAAUAAGUCUCUGGUGAAAUCCUGCAGCUUAACUGUGGGAAUUGCUGGAGAUACUAUUAGACUUGAGACCGGGAGAGGUUGGAGGUACUCCCAGGGUAGAGGUGAAAUUCUGUAAUCCUGGGAGGACCGCCUGUUGCGAAGGCGUCUAACUGGAACGGUUCUGACGGUGAGGGACGAAAGUUAGGGGCGCGAACCGGAUUAGAUACCCGGGUAGUCCUAACUGUAAACGAUGCGGACUUGGUGUUGGGGUGGCUUUGAGCUGUCCCAGUGCCGAAGGGAAGCUGUUAAGUCCGCCGCCUGGGAAGUACGGUCGCAAG